GGCUGUGCGGGCGCCCGCGCCCCCCGUGGGACCGGCGCAGCGACACGGGCGCGGCUGGGAGCACUCUGCGUUUUUAUUUCACAGCGGGGCGCCCUCCCGCCCCGGGGGAGGCGAGGGCGGGAACGGGGGGCACGAGUUCCGGCCCGGGAGCCCAGGGGAGCGGAGGGGGGCCGUCCUGCGUCACUGGUCACGGUUGAACAUGUAGCGGAGGAGGUCCACCACCCGGUGACUGUAGCCGAACUCGUUGUCGUACCUGGGGAGCGGGGCGGCGGGUCAGGGCCCCCCUCCGGACCGCUCCUGGUCCGCACCCCCCCUCCCCCCGCGGACCCCAACCACCUCACCAGGAAAUGAGCUUCACGAAGCUGUUGUUGAGCGCGAUGCCGGCGUUAGCGUCGAAGAUGGACGAGUGGGUGUUGCCCACAAAGUCCGUGGACACGACCUGGGCGUCCGAAUUUCAAAGAUGAGUGUGGGCGCGGAGCAAGGACCUCCAGGAGCCCAGGCUCCGGCUCUUAGGCACCUGGCCAUCGCUUCACCUACAGUGUCUGGGAGCCCGCUGUGUCCAGGUUCUGGGGGCCCAGGAGGAAGGCACGCGGGGGCUUGGCCUGCGGCCAAAGGACGAAGAGCACAAACACCCUGAGGCUGCAGCAGUCCCGUCCCGGGAAGGCGCCUGGCCUGGCCUACCCUGACCGAUUGUUGAAAAGUGGGAGCCACUGUCUUGUUCCUGAGGCACCCAUUGAGCAGCUGCCGCUGUGCCAGGCCCCGGGGAGAUGGCUGGAGCCACGGAGCCCCCAAGUCCCUGCUUUCCUGUGGUGCACAUGCUAGCGGCGCCAACGCUGACCGUGAAAGGGAACUUCAAGUAAGAGGGUCAGAAGGAGAAUAUGUCACUGAGGACAGAAGCUGAAAUAGGGACUUGGAGCAGCUGAGGGCCGACUGCUUGGCCACCGGGAAGAAAAGCUAUUCAGACCAAAGGAGCAGCAAGUGCAAAGACCCUGAGGUGGGAAGAGCAGCCCUCCAGACCUCCCCAGCCCUGCAGCCCCUAUCUUGAUACGACGUGAGCAGCUCUUUGGCAACAGGGGAAUUCCUCCCCAGAGGGCUCUUCCCACGGUCCCCCACCUCAGCCCCUACCUCAUCCUCGGUGUAGGCAAGGAUGCCAGCGAGGGGCCCCUUGGCUGCCGCUUUGAUGGCCUCUUUGAUGGCCUCGUAUGGGGUGGGCUGGGCCAGGCGGCAGGUCAGGUCCACAACAGAUACGUCUGGGGUUGGCACCCGGAACGCCAUUCCUGUCAGCUUCCUGGAAAAUCCCACAUUAGGGGUGGGAGUCAGAACCCAGGACUUCUCCAUCCAUCCCAUGUAGUCUCUACUUUCCCCUCAAGGAUUGGGGGCCAGUCCAGUCCUCCUGGGGGCGUAUCCCAACCCUGGUUGCAGCUUUCUGCCUUCAUACCCUUUGAGGUCUGGGAUGACUUUGCCAACAGCCUUGGCAGCCCCCGUGGAGGCUGGGAUGAUGUUCUGGUGGGCGCCCCGGCCAUCUCGCCAGGCCUUCUUUGAUGGCCCGUCCACAGUCUUCUGGGUGGCAGUAUAGGAAUGAACUGUGGUCUUGGGGAAGAAGAAGGCCGAGCUGAGCCCUUCCUCCUCCUAAGCUCCCAGGCCUGAGGUGGUGACCUGGGUGGGGAAGUCCACAGACCCCGGGAGGGCCAGGUACAGGCCAGGGGCCAGCCUGUCUGGAGGUCGCACAGUAUUUUAAGAGACUUCACCACUUGGCUCCUCCCCCCGAAACCGUCUCUCUCCCUCUUAACCCCUCACGCUAAGCCAAUCCUGGGAAGAGGUGGAGUUUCCCUGCCACCCCUCCUGUCAGCCUCUGUCCCAGCUCACCAUCAGCCCUUCCACGAUCCCAAAUCGCUCAUGGAUGACCUUGGCAAGGGGCGCCAGGCAGUUGGUGGUGCAGGAUGCAUUGCUGAAACGGGCCACGUGUGCAAGGGCAGUGUGAGGUGAGUCGCAGAACAACAAGUCCUGCACCCUCACCUCUCUCGGGUUAUGCACACAGGCCUGGUCUUGUGGACGUCAGGAUGGGGAGGAGGGGGAUCACUGGGGGUGCCCUUCAGGCUGAGGGGAGGUGCUGGAGGUACAGCUGGGGACGCUCCCCAAGCAUGUUCCCUGGGAGUCCUGCUGUUCUAACCGGGAGUUUUAGGGAAACGGUGACAUGACGGCAUCAAGGCUUUGGGAAAGGAGAUGUGAAGCAGCACCGGGGGUCUACUGGGAGCGGGGGUGAAGAGGGGGAGGCUGGCAUGUCCUCUGGGUGCCACUCACACCCUUAAGAAGGGUGCUGCCCAUUACCUGACGACUUUCAUGGAGGCAGGAUCAUAGCUCUUCUCGUUUACCCCCAUGACAAACAUGGGUGCAUCCGGUGAGGGUGCGGAGAUGACCACACGCAAGGCGCCUGCCUCGAUGUGGCCCUAGAGGAGGAGCACAGGUGGCAGGGGGUGCUUUGAGGGCCGCCUCCACACCCCCUACCCCCGCCCAGGUGUCUGGGCACCUGUCCCCCACUUACUGAAGCUUCCUCUAAGGACAGGUACACGCCUGUGGACUCCACCACAAAGGGGUUCCCGACAGACUUCCAGGGAAUGUCUCGGGGCUGCUUGCUGUGGAGGGGUGGCAGCGCCUGAGCCGGGCUCUUCCAGCGCGGCCCUGCCUUACAGGCAUGGCCUUCACUGCUCGAAGGCCAACCGGAGGCCUUCUUACCCGGCCUGUACCCUCCCACUCCCACAGUAGCCCCAGCACCUCACCAGCCCUCCCGCCCCACAAGUAGAAGCUGAAACCCGCGCCCCCCGCCCCCCCGCCCCUGCCGUGGCUGUGCCAGAGGGACCUGGCCGGGGCGCAUGCACAGGUGCGUGGGAAAGUCUCGGGCCGAGGGGUCCAGCCGAGGCUGCUAACUUCUAUAUUUAGAAAGGGAACCUCCCAUUACAGGUUCGGGGGUCCCAUUUUUUUAUUUUUAAUUUUUUUGUUAUCUUAAAAGUUUAUAUUUGAAGCAUAUUAAACAUCUAACCCGAUUGCUUUUGAUUUACAGAUUCUAAACCUAUCUUUAAAUGGAAGGAAGGACUGGGUGAUGGGCACGGGGUGUUAUGCUAGAUGUUGGCAAAUUGAACUCCAAUAAAAAUAAAUAAAUAAAUAAAU